rnacentral:rRNA from 1 species
UACGGAGGGUGCGAGCGUUGUUCGGAAUUACUGGGCGUAAAGCGCGUGCAGGCGGCCGACUAAGUCAGGUGUGAAAGCCCGGGGCUCACCUCCGGAAGUGCGCUUGAAACUGGUCGGCUAGAGUACGGGAGAGGGAAGCGGAAUUCAUGGUGUAGCAGUGAAAUGCGUAGAUAUCAUGAGGAACACCAGAGGCGAAGGCGGCUACCUGGACAGUUACUGACGCUCAGGCACGAAAGCGUGGGGAGCAAAAGGG